AAUUAAUAUUUUUAUUAAAUUUAAUGGCUCUAUCAACUAUUAGGACUUAUUUGGUUCAAAAAUGGAAUUGAAAUAAAUAAUAGAAUGAGAAUGAAUUAGAAUGACAAUUGGAUUGCUCUACUUCCUCAAGACGUUUGGUUCAUUUCUAGAUUGAAAAUCAGAAUGAAUUAUUUCUAUUUCACUGUUUGAUUGAUACAAAGUAAAAAAAUAAUAGAAUAGCAUAAUACUAAUUUUACUUUUAAAUAUAAUUUUAUAAAACUAUCUAAAAUUUUUUUAAAAAAAAUAAUACUACUCUCAUGUUAGAGCUAUGCCAAAAAAAAGAAAUUUAUUUUAAAAUUUUUUAUGCAAAAAAUUACAAAAAAAUGCAUAAAUUUUUUUGAAUAAAAUUGUAAUAAAAAAUAAUAUAUCAUGUUUUUUUUAAUGAUCAUAAAAAGGGAAGAGAUUGGUAUACGGAGAGAAAGAAUGGAUAAGAUGGAGAAACGUUGGGCUGGGCCUGAGGAAGAGGUGAGUGUGGGCUUGGAAUUGAAACUUCAACCCGGGCUCGGAGACCGGAAUCAAUUUGUAAGUUAAUGGACCAUUCCCAUUCCGAUCCAGAAUGAAAAUCUCAAACCGAUUCCUGUGAAUCAAACAAAAUUAGUUAAUCAAACCGAUUUCCAUUCCAGAUCCAAAAUGUACGAACCAAACAUGCCCUUAGAGUUUUAUUCACUGGUAGUACAAAUAGUACAAGAACCAAUCAUGGAGCCAUUAAAACAGAAGUUAAAAAGUUAAAUUUAAGGAGUGGUUUCAAAAUAUUUUAUAGUAGAGGGUUCUCCCUACACUUUUACCUAUUUACUUUUUCUACAUUGCAUUUCAUGUUUGAUCUACUUCUAAGUAUUUAAUUUGACCUACUUCUAAGUAUUUAAAUUGAAAACAUUGGUUCCAUUUCGAACCACACGAGAUCGUAUUACGUACAAUGAGAAAGCCUUGAAGAAAAAAAAAUAUUUAUUUAUUUUUGUAAAUAAUAUCACGUUAUACAUAUUAUAAUGAGUCGAUAUAUUUUUAUAUGAUUUUAUCAAAAAAAUUCCAAGAAACUGUAGAAAAUAUCUCGUAACUGAUUUAUUGCAAUAUAAAGGAUAUUACAGAUUUUAAAACAUGAUAUUUUUUCACUCACCGUAUGUAACAAACUAUUAUUAUUUUUCUAUUGUACUUAACUAACCAUAGUUAUCUAAAUAAUCCAAACAAACCGACCGUUUCUAGAGUGAGUGGCAAAAGGAAUGGUGGUUGGUACACGAGGUCCCAAGUUCGAAUCUUAGUUGAUUCGCAUUUCCAACUAAGUUUAUUUCUAAAUGAAAUAAACGAAGCGGGUAGCGUGCUACCCAUCUCUCAAAAAAAGAAAUAAUCCAAACAAACUUACAAAACAUGAAGACGAAAGCUUCGUUUGGGAUUGCAGGGAGAUUGCGUUAUGUGCAGUGAGAAACGACAAUGGAAAAUACCCUGUUUGUUUUCAUACGUAAUAUUGCGUUCCGCAUAUCGUGAUGAGUCGAUUACGAUAUAUUUUCUGCGGUCCCAUCGGAGAACGCAGAAGCAUAUCUAGGGGUGGAAACGAGCCGAGCUCGAGCGAGCUUACCUCGGCUCAAACCGAGCUCGAGCCCUAAACGAGCCGCUUGAAAUUCUCAACAUCAUACGAUCAAUAGUUUAAUUUGUAUAGAACAUUAUCUAUAAUUUGAUACAAAAAUAUGUCUAAUAGUUCAAAGUACAAAAUAAUUAUAUAAAAUAUAGUAUUAUAAUAUGAAAAAAAUAAUUUAUGAGUUGAAUAUCUAAUCUUUUCAGUCUCACAUGUCUUUUCUUCCGCCUUCAAUCUCCAUAUUAUUCAUUUUCAUUUAUGCAGUCAAAAAUAAAUAAAUUAUAUAGAUAAAUAUUGGAUUAAACUCUCCAAUCAUAUAGAACAAAAAUUAAAAUUUUAUAUGAAUAAUAAUUUUUUACUUUAAAUAUUCUGUAUAUUUUCUCAAGCUUACAAUUAAUAGCAAGGUAGGCAACGGCAGACAUAUACUGUUUGUUACUUGGUAAUUUUGAGGGCUUUCGGCUUGGCUGCUUAGGGUGAGAGACAGAAAAAGAGAAAGAGAGAAAUAUAUUGAAAAUUUAGAGUUCUGUGAAAGAAAGAAAGAAAGAAAGGAAAUAUAUAUAAAUUUAGUGAAAUUUUGCUAUUUUAUUUGUCUAUUGGCUUUGUUUUUAUGGGCCAACAACAUUGGCCAAAUUUUAACUAAACUCAGAUUAUUCACUCAGCCUAUAUAUAAUUAAAAUAUAUUAUAUUUAUAUAUUUUUUAAUAUAUAUAUAUAUAUAUAUAUAGUGUAGAACUACUAUGCUAUCGAAAAUAUAGAGGAUUUGAUGUUUUCNUAAUAGGAUAGCAUAAUACUAAUUUUACUUUUAAAUAUAAUUUUAUAAAACUAUCUAAAAUUUAUAAAAAAAAAUAAUAAUAAUACUACUCUCAUGUUAGAGCUAUGCCAAAAAAAAGGAAUUUAUUUUAAAAUUUUUUAUGCAAAAAAUUACAAAAAAAUGCAUAAAUUUUUUUGAAUAAAAUUGUAAUAAAAAAUAAUAUAUCAUGUUUUUUUUAAUGAUCAUAAAAGAGGGAAGAGAUUGGUAUACGGAGAGAAAGAAUGGAUAAGAUGGAGAAACGUUGGGCUGGGCCUGAGGAAGAGGUGAGUGUGGGCUUGGAAUUGAAACUUCAACCCGGGCUCGGAGACCGGAAUCAAUUUGUAAGUUAAUGGACCAUUCCCAUUCCGAUCCAGAAUGAAAAUCUCAAACCGAUUCCUGUGAACCAAACAAAAUUAGUAGCAUUUAAUCAAAUCGAUUUUCAUUCUAGAUCCAAAAUGUACGAACCAAACAUGCCCUUAGAGUUUUAUUCACUGGUAGUACAAAUAGUACAAGAACCAAUCAUGGAGCCAUUAAAACAGAAGUUAAAAAGUUAAAUUUAAGGAGUGGUUUCAAAAUAUUUU
rnacentral:lncRNA from 1 species